CCUUACUUCCUGGGAACGUAGUGAGGGACCAUUUCCACUAAUGCAGGCUCGCACAAGCUUGGGUGGCCCAAGUUGAUGAGUCGUCUCACCUCCCUCCCAUCCCCUUUUUCUGUCUCCUCACCUUCCUGGCGGCUCCCAUGGUUGCGCUCGCCAUGCUGCUCUUGCUUGGCGACGGCGGCCGCGAGGGCUACGCAAGGGUGGCGCUCGUUGGUCUCCCAGCCAAGAUCUCGACACCGCUGGAGGCCGUGCCGGCACCAUCAUGACGCCAGUGCUGCUGAUUGGCCCACGACAGCGACGACGGCGAGGGGAACCACUAGGGCUCAGGCUCAUCACCUAGCUGCACCGUGGGUGCGAGAAAGGACACUGCUGCGGCCAAGUCGACGGCGGUGAUGAUUGCGCCCACGUGGAGCUCGAGCUUCUAGCCACAGUAGAUCUUGAGGGCAUCCACUGUGAAGGAAUGUAGAUUCUCAUUGAUGAAGCUUCUUCCUUUCAUACCUUUCUUGGUCAUUCCCGAUUGGUAAUUUAGAGUAUUUGGUGCUACGCUCAUGAUUUUUUUAAUU
rnacentral:lncRNA from 1 species